GUUUGCACUCAUCGGGGAUGGGUGAGAACCUUCGACUAAGGUUCGAUUCGAGCGAAAGCGAGAGAACGUUGCCACAGGCAACGGCCCGAAGGGUGAGGAGCGAAGCGACGAAUAAUCCUUCCCCCACCACCA
rnacentral:sRNA from 1 species